AGUAAGGUCAUCUGCUUCCAGCCUGAAGCUGGUUACAGACUUGUUUUCAUCUCCAUGAACAUAGCUGUUACACAAUAUAGAUUUCAACCCUUACUUGAAACCAUCGAGGCUCUGUAUAUUCUAACUGGCAGGUUUUGUUGUGGUUGCUGAUAAAAAUAAGCUAUGCCUGCUCCAAGCCGGAAGCCCAAGAAUUGGAGUUGUUAUUCUAUGGUAUAUAAUUCAAAAUUUGGCAGAAUAUGAGUGACCAGAGAGAGACAUAAAGAAAGUCUGUCAGGAUGUUAUAUCCUGGCCUAGAGUAGAGGGCAGAAGUGUCAAAGUGCCAGAAGGAUUAGAUCGCAGUGGCAAAAAAUCAAGUUUUCUGCAUCUCCUUUCUAUCAUCAUUACCCUGAAGUGUCAGAAGAAAGUUACUAGGCAUUAUUCACAAGUCCUCCUGCAGUCGUUGUUCCUUUUCACCGAGUUUCAUCUGGAUAAGCACACGGGCUCCCUGGCUUCCUUGAAGUCUUUAUGCAAGGUUACCUUCUUUGUGAAGAGCUUCCUGACCACCCUAAAAUAUUAACCUGCUUCCUGGACAUUUUGUAUCCUCUUUGGUGACGUAAUUGUUGCUC